GGUGCUUGCACUGGCGAAGUCGAGUGGCGAACGGGUGAGUAACACGUGAGAAACCUACCCUGGAGUGGGGAAUAACUCGAAGAAAUUCGAGCUAAUACCGCAUACCUUCUUACCGUCGAAUGGUGGUUUGAAGAAAGAUUUAUCGCUCUGGGAGGGUCUCGCGGCCUAUCAGCUAGUUGGUGAGGUAACGGCUCACCAAGGCAUCGACGGGUAGCUGGUCUGAGAGGACGAUCAGCCACACUGGAACUGAGACACGGUCCAGACUCCUACGGGAGGCAGCAGUAGGGAAUCUUGCGCAAUGGGCGAAAGCCUGACGCAGCAAUGCCGCGUGCGGGACGAAGGCCCUAGGGUCGUAAACCGCUUUCAGUAGGGACGAAAAUGACGGUACCUGCAGAAGAAGCUCCGGCCAACUACGUGCCAGUAGCCGCGGUGAUACGUAGGGAGCAAGCGUUGUCCGGAAUUACUGGGCGUAAAGGGCUCGUAGGUGGUUGAGUAAGUCAGAUGUGAAAUCUCAGGGCCCAACCCUGAGCGUGCAUUUGAUACUGCUCUGACUAGAGUCCGGUAGGGGAGUGCGGAAUUCCUGGUGUAGCGGUGAAAUGCGCAGAUAUCAGGAGGAACACCGACAGCGAAGGCAGCACUCUGGGCCGGUACUGACACUGAGGAGCGAAAGCAUGGGUAGCAAACAGGAUUAGAUACCCUGGUAGUCCAUGCCGUAAACGUUGGGCACUAGGUGUGGGGAGAACUCAACUCUCUCCGCGCCGUAGCUAACGCAUUAAGUGCCCCGCCUGGGGAGUACGGCCGCAAGGCUAAAACUCAAAGGAAUUGACGGGGGCCCGCACAAGCGGCGGA
rnacentral:rRNA from 1 species